AAAGAUUGCGAUGAGGAUAACAAGCUCCCUCUUCUGAAAUAGGAUUGAAGAAGAUCGCUGGCAGAAUCGAACCUAAUACUCAAAAUGCCACGACUGAGCAA